CCCUUAGACGUUCUGGGCCGCACGCGCGCUACAUUGACGAAGGCAACGAGCUUUCCUUUACCGAAAGGUACGGGUAAUCUUUUGAAACUUCGUCGUGCUGGGGAUAGAUCCUUGCAAUUAUUGAUCUUAAACGAGGAAUUCCUAGUAAGCGCAAGUCAUCAACUUGCGUUGAUUACGUCCCUGCCCUUUGUACACACCGCCCGUCGCUACUACCGAUUGAAUGGUUUAGUGAGGCCUUCGGAUCCGCGACUCGUUUUGUGGAGAAGUUGGACAAACUCAGUCAUUUAGAGGAAGUAAAAGUCGUAACA
rnacentral:rRNA from 1 species